AGGAAAUCUGGGCAAGUUUGGGCUUUACAUAGAUCUAGAAGAUAUCUCUCCUAGUUGUAAUAGUUGAUUAAAUGCAAUGGAUUCAAGUGGUCUCCUCCAGUGCCCGUAUGACAAAAACCACAUGAUCCGUCCUAGUAGGUUCCCAUAUCACCUUGUGAAAUGCAGACAGAAUAAUCCUGUGGCUGUAAAAGCACUAGCAACCUGUCCAUACAAUGCCCGUCACAGAGUGCCGAA